rnacentral:tRNA from 1 species
GGGAAUGUGGCUUAGUGGUAAAGUGCUUGCCUAGCAUGCAUGAAGCCCUGGGUUUGAUUCCCCUGUAUCA